GAGAUGGCAGUAAUGUAUAUUUCUUGCUACAGACUAAGAACUGGAGAGUAAGAAAACCAAACAACUCGGUGGAGGUAAGGUGCACCAUGUCUACGGUCGCACGGCGCCAGUAAAAAAAAAAAAGCCACAACGAAAUGUUAGCUAUUUGCUUGGCAGUUUAAAUUCCCAAACUUAGUUUCAGCAUUCUCCCUGGUCCUCCCCUUAAAGAAAGUGGACUCGUCCAGCAGGAAAGGCUUUGACAUCCACUCCGCUGCUGGAGUUGCUAUGAGAUGAUGCAGUCCAACAGGUCUGAGUACAGUCACAGGCGGCAGUACAAUGACAAAAGUUCAAGGCAAUGGGAAGACUAUGACGACGGAUGGGAAGAAAGGCGUGAACCUUACAGACAUAUAGCGCAGGAUUCCUAUCAGAAACAUGGCGGGGAUGGACAGAGUAGCACAGAGAGGACAGGUAGAAGCAGAGAG